UAGGCUUGACGGUGCUUAUGCUUAGACAU
rnacentral:piRNA from 1 species